rnacentral:rRNA from 1 species
CCUACGGGGGGCAGCAGGCGCGAAACCUCCGCAAUGUACGCAAGUGCGACGGGGGGAUCCCAAGUGUUAUUCUUAACAGAAUAACUUUUCAUUAGUGUAAAAAGCUUUUAGAAUAAGAGCUGGGCAAGACCGGUGCCAGCCGCCGCGGUAACACCGGCAGCUCAAGUGGUAGCUGUUUUUAUUGGGCCUAAAGCGUUCGUAGCCGGUUUGAUAAGUCUUUGGUGAAAGCUUGUAGCUUAACUAUAAGAAUUGCUGAAGAUACUGUCAGACUUGAAGUCGGGAGAGGUUAGAGGUACUACCGGGGUAGGGGUGAAAUCCUAUAAUCCUGGGAGGACCACCUGUGGCGAAGGCGUCUAACUGGAACGAUCUUGACGGUGAGUAACGAAAGCUAGGGGCGCGAACCGGAUUAGAUACCCACGUAGUCC